UCCGCGUUUCCGGCACGUCCGCCCUGCUUCGGUUCAUUGUCUUGUGAAGGAAUCGCAGCCGGCAAUCAGACAGUACUGUGUUAGAAGAUAAUGAAAUGUGAGGCUGGAUGAACACAGCAGGCCCAGCAGCAUCUCAGGAGCACAAGCUUGACUUGCACCUCGUGGAUUGUGGUCGGGCUUUGGAGUGUCAAGAUAAGUUAUUUGCCACAUAAUUGCUCCGCCUGACGUGAUCAUAUAGCCAGAAUGUUUAUAUGAUGGUCCCCGUAAGUUUCUGAUCAAUAGUAAUAUUCUGUGUUGAUUUAUAAGAUAAAGGACAUAACUAAGUUUGUGAAGUUAUGAUAUUGAUUUCUUGCAAACUUAAUUAAUAAAAAUAAAAUACAAUAGACAGCAUUGAAAAUGUACCAGGAAGCAAAUGAGAAAAUACUGUAUAGGAGCACAGAACUCACAGAAUCUCGAAGGCCUGUUGGAAGAUAGCUGAUCUCUUAUAAUACAAACCAGACUACCAGUGAACAACAAGCAUUCAUAAAAAGACAAUUAUAGAGAAAAGCUUCCUGGUUCAAUAAUGCUGACAAUUUCUCAUUUUUUGUAUUUGUAAUAAUGGUUUUAGAUCUUCAAUUUCUAGCAGAAUCACUGGUUAGUCAUACCAACAUAUCCCUGAGAUGGCGAUACUUGUAUGAACACAUAUUGUCCAGGAGAUGCAGUAUUUGCUCCAUAUUACUCAAACAUCAGUCAUCCAGGUGAUUUUCUAUUAGCUUGUCUGUUGACACAGGAAACAUAUUGUUAGUUUCUGUGUCUCAGUUAUCCGGCUAACUCAAAAUAGACCCCUGCACAGGUAUGGUCUCGCAAAGCCCAUAGAUCAUAGUGCAACACCCUUGCAGUCCUUGUAGUUAAUGCUUCAAGCUGAUGAUAUCGCAAAGAUAUUGUAAAUGAAUGUAUAUCAUUUAUCUAUAAUUAUAUUUUGAUCAUUUGGAACAACACAAAAUUAGUAUGGGAGAAAUUGGACAAUUUCAAGUAUUAUAGACCGGAAUGAUAAUUCCAGCACAGGUUCCUACCUCAGCAAUUCCUAACUUGUCCUCUCUCUUGUGUCUGAUUCUAAUUUAUAAUGGAAAGUACACCUUGUGCAUCAUCAGUCCCAACAUUUGAAAACACUAAUAAAAUACAACAGUAAAAUCGACAAUUUUGAUGUGGUUUGUUCUGUCUGUCAGGUGCUGACUUUCAACAACUGAACAGAUCCUGGCCUUGAUACUGAGUUAUAUUUUGGGCACGGAGAUGGAUUUCCUUAUUCUGUUCCUCAUUUACUUGGCUGUUUGCCUCUUCUGCAUGGUGAUUGCCAUCAAAUUCUCGAGGCAAAGUCAGGAAUGUUUCACAAGGAUCUCGCACUACAUCACUCGGGUGAUUGGACCAGUGAUUCCUCAAUGGUUACAGUUAGCAGUACAACUUACUUUACAUAGGUUCGUCCACCAGAGAAACUCCUUUUUCCUGGUUUUGCACCUUCUUUUAGAAGUAGCUGUGUAUGGAGAGUAUUCAUGGGAAGUGUUACCUUACUGCAUGGAACUGGGAUUCGGACAUAGUGUCCUGCUGCUUCCUUACAUCCUGGUGCUUGGGAAGAUGUACUUUUUCUAUCUAUGCUGCACCAGAGACCCCGGUACGAUUUCUCCUUCAAACCACAAGCAACUGCUGAAAGUGUACACAUAUGAUGGAAUUUUGUAUCAUCAGUCCCACAUCUGCCCUACGUGUGAACUUACAAAGCCUGCACGAUCAAAGCAUUGCCGUGUGUGUAACCGGUGUGUCCAUCGAUUUGACCACCAUUGUGUCUGGGUGAAUAACUGCAUUGGUGCGUUAAACAUACGCUACUUCCUGUUAUACCUGGUGACACUGUCUGGGAUGGCAGCCGCAGUGGGAACAGUAACUGUAAGGUUCCUUGUCCAGGUGGCUCUGAUCUCCAACUUACAUCAGGCAAUGUUUGUGAAUGCUGAUGGUGAACAUGUGCCUGUUGGCAUCCUAUAUAUAGUCCAGAGACUGUUCCUGACCUUUCCUCGGAUACUUUUCAUGCUGGGCUUCACGCUCCUCAUCUUCUUUCUGCUGGCAGGUUAUACUGCAUUUCACUUCUAUUUGCUGAUGACCAAUCAGACUUCAAAUGAGUGGUACAAACAUAAGAACAGUUGCCUGUGCCACACAGACAACAGCCAGCCAAGCAAAUACUUACAGGGAAACAUCUAUCAUAUAGGGUUUCUCAGAAAUGUGAAAGAAAUCAUAAGCCCUGAGACACGACAGAAAAAAGUCAGGUGACAGGGACAGAAAGUGACUUUUUGUUCACCUUCAGACAAAGGUCUUCUGUUCAAUUGUUAAAUGGUUUGUAAUUUUUUUUAAAAUUGAUGUUUUAUACCAGUUUUUUUUACUGUCUAGUUAAUAUAUUAAAAUUGAAAAUGGGUUCGUUACUCCUUGUUCUCAUUGCUCCAUUCCAUUGGGCAGGUUCUACAAAAGAGAUCAUCUUCGACUGUUGUGCAGGUUCAGGCACUUUUUCAAUAAUGCCAUGAGUGCGUCCAACUUGUGUUUAAUUCUGCUGAGCUCUAAGGACUUAAGAAAACUGAAUUUGCUGCAAAAAGAAAGUUUUUGAAACCAGAAAGGGGGAGAAUUUGAAAUGGAGCAACACCAAGAAUCUUCCACGCAAAAUACAUCUGACCUCCUUGACUGGUCUGGCCUACAUGACUUCAGACACACAGCAAUGUAGUUGUCUUUUUACUGCUCUCAAGUGGUCCAGCAAGUAAUUCAGUUCAACGGCAACAAAUGCCCAUAUGCCAUAAAAGAAUAAAGGAAAUAAACGAUACAGCGCCAUCAAAACAUAAUCAGAACAGAGUCAAAGCUACAUUUGGAGUGCCAACACAGAUCGAGAUACAAUCAAUUUCAAUGAAAUGUAAAGAGAGAUGGCACCAUUUUAAUCCAAAAAUAGAAAACAGUAAAUCCAGCUUAGAGGUGGAAGUGUUACAAAUGAAAUGCAGAGACGCAAGAUGCAAGGUUACAACUAGGAGGCACUGAGAGAGAGAGACACACAGCUAUGAUCAGAACAUACAGGGAUACAAUCAGAUUGAAGGCAGUUUUCUAUAUGAGGCAGCACUGUAUUAAAAUCGGACAUUCAAUAAAACUACAACCAGAUGUAUAGAGACAAGGCUGUUACUGGAAUUUACAGAAAGAAGACGGACAGUCAACACUACAGAAAUGCACCUGUGAUAAGACAGCCAGGCCAACCCAUCGUCUUAUGCAAACCGAGAUUGAGUUACAAUCAAAUGUGCAGGGAGGCAGAUCUAUUCCAAUGCUACACUCAUUAAAUCUGAAUAACAAUUGUGGAAAAGAUUUCUCAAACUCAUUAACAUGCUGUUUUGACAAUAAUGAGAUUAUUCAUAAAGAUUACGUGAAGGAAGACAGACAUAUAACCAUAUGUCCAUAUGACCGCCCCAUAUAAAUGUUCAAUCUCCUUUAAUGCCAUCUAGCUAUGACUUGCACGACUUCCAGAGAAUGAGGUUAAAACCUUUAUUCAGCAUGGCUGCCCUUACACAAAAUCUUAAGCAAAUCACUGGAGCAGAUAAAAUUCCCUGAUGUUCUCAUUUAAGGUGGGUGGACAGGGUCAAGUCUAUUUUGAGUUCUGGUAGGCUCGGUCAACUGGUCUCUAUAGAAGUGCCAAUUGUGGUUCAGAGGGUAGCAUACACACUUCUGAGUCUGAAGCUUGUGCUUUCAAGAUCCAGUCCAGAAAGCCAGGCUAAUAGUCCCAGGACAUUAUCAAGGGAGUGUUUCACUGACAUGGAAGUCAUCUUUGGAUAAAAGAUGAAAGAUUUCAAUGUUAUUUUGAAGAGCAGCAAAGUUCACUCCAGGGCCCUUGGUAAUAGUCAUCCCCUAACAAACAUCACUAAAACAGAGUAUAGUGAUUAGCACAUGACUGUGUGUGGAAUUUUGCUCUAUUCAAAUUGAUUGCUAUGUUGUCUACAUGACAAAAUGACCGUAGGUAGCUGAAUCCUUGGAACACUCUACCACAGUGAGGGCACUGGAGGUUUUUGCAGCUGUUCUCACUUUGUGACUUUGUCUAAGUAUGUAUCUAUUGGAAAAACAGUUUGAAACAAAACAGCACCUUUUUGGCUGUGAAGCGCUUUAGGACAUUCUUAAUAUUGACAGUCACUAUAAAAGCGCAAGUCUUUCUUCCUUACAAGCAAUGGCAGUCAAUUGCGAAAAUGUGUUACCUGAAUUACUAAUUUAUAAUAUCAAGCAUGUGUACAUAGAAAAACUUAAACAAUGUGAAAAUAACUUUUCAAAGCAGAGGACACUGGCUUCAGCAGCAAAAAAUGCUGAACCCAAGCUGCUAGAUCAAAAUAGAGAGUCUGCAACACCUUCAAAGAAAGGUCAGUUGACCCAGUUGGCGAGUGUAAAAUAUACUGGUUUUGAAAAUGCAGAAGUUGCCACAGAUUCAACAGCCUUUGUUUUCUCUCUCUUUCUCUAAAACCCCUGCAAAGUUUGAAUUAAAAACCUACCAGAAGAACUCAUCAACAAACUCAUCUGAGAGUUCUUAAAGGAGUCCUCUGAAUUUAAACCACUGACAAGGAGAAUUCAACCAGGCAUAACUGAUCCAGAAAAAACAAAAUGUCAAUAGCUUGUGUGCAAAAUGUCUUGGAUCGCACACCAGCAUUCAGAACAAUCAAAGAAUCCAUUUAUCCUGAUAUAAUUGUUACUUGGUAAAAGUUCUUUAAGAUCUAUAUUUGUGUGUGUGCAUCUUUUUAAAUCUUUU